GUGAUGAACUGGGGUGGAUCAUCAAGACUAGAGGAGCCAAGGAUAAUUUCUCUCUUCAGUUUUGAUGAUAGCUUGUGAGCAGCACAUAACUAUCGAGUAGCACCACCAAUAACAAAAACAAAUAAUCGCUGACCCAACUUUCUGCUAUUACUUGAUGUGUGCUUCAGUCACAAACCUUGAAUACCCAUCAUCAGAGUCUCGAGGCCUGGCCCAUGUGCCACCUGUCCUUCUAGAUCUCAUGGAUUGAGCUGGCUGGUGAGCUGGGCUUGUUUGGGUAGAUGCACUUGGAAUUCCCCGGAAACUAGGACUAGGGUCAUUCAAAUAGUGAUACUCAUCUUUUGGUAGCUCACCCUUGCUAAUACAUGGAAAAGCUUGUACCUCCAGGAUGGGAUAAAACCGGGACAACAUCCAUUUUGAUUCUUCUCCUAUCCGCUCCUUUCUGAUACCAUGCCUUUUCUAAAAUUUAUCAAAUUUCAGAGUAAAGCCACCUGCCGAAGACUUUUUAGAAUCAUGCCCACAAAGGCAACGCAUAUUACUCACUGCAAUCAUGUCAUCAGCAGAUAAUCCUGCUACCUGCAUCAACUUUGCACCCUUAUCACUUCGAGUUUUAUCUGGAUUGAUGGCAGCAUAAACCAUAAGCAAACGCAGCUUAUUUUCACGACUGAUAACCAAAUGUGUCCUGAAGAAAUUUAUGAGUUCUUUUGUCCCAGCAUCACCAAACACAAGAUCUUGCUCAAGCUGCCCAACAUCUUUCAAUUGUUGCUCUUUAAUUGCAGGGAAUGUAACUACUAACCUCAACAUGAAGCGCAAGCUUGUCAAUUUGAUCACUGUACUGCGGAAGAGCUUGAACCAUUUUUUGCAACUCUUUGGUUGAUAAAUCUCCACCAUUUCUUGCUUGAUGUAGUUGAGCAGCUUUGUUUUUUGAUACAAAAUUGGUCAUCUUCUCAUGCAAUCUUUCACUAGCAUUGGCUAUAUGUACAUGCCGAAGCUCAAGCCAUAUUGGAUCAUGAUCCUCCAACAAAACCUCCUUCUACUACAAAUGAAGAUUUUGACAUGCUCACCUGUUGUACAUACUUGUUGCCAUCCAUGCAGAGUAGAUCAUGACACAUGGCAUCAUAGGUCCAUUCUUUGACAUUCCACCUCAUACCUGAUCUAUUGAUCGGUCUACGAUAAGUAAUUCACAUGUUUCAGUCUGAGGGAAUUCAGGUAUCAUAGCCUUAAAUCUUGCAAGGCAAUUCCACACACCAGCAGCAAGCUUUGUGGGUGCCAAAUCUCGUAGUGUUGUCAAAGUAGAAGCAUCAAUCGUCCUGGCAACACGAUACAUAAAAUGGGAAAACAGUACCCUCAUUGAUGCGAAUACUGUAGCAAUACGAGUGGCCAUCAUGUUAAGGCAAGAGUUAUACUUGAGUGAACCUUCUGCAUUUUCACUAAAUAGCUCUUCUAGGGCCUUGUCAUGGUCAGUUGUAAAGCCCUAACAUGCAAGGAACAGAUAAUAGUUAAACUGACCUCACUGAGUGCACCUAUGCGUGCUCUAACAUUUGAAUCUUUUUUUAUUUGGGCCACCAACUCUCUUUGUACGGGUGAACUGAAAAACACAUAGGCUCUGAAACAGGUAGAGUAUCGUGAUGUGGUAACUAGUCACACUUACUUUUCCUUAGUUGGUUGAAUGAAAUAAAUUGCAUCCAUCAAUGGUAAUGGUUGCCUCCGCAUGUAAAAAACAUACUUACAUGAAACACCUUCUUCCAUCACAUCUGCCAUCUUGCAAGAAAAUGACAUAAUCUUCACCGUAAGUUUGUCCAUGAUAAGAACCUAGGAGUUACAAAACAAUUUUAUGCCGUGGGGGCAGGGCAGGAAGGCACUCACGAUCCCGGGUGAUCUGGCGGAAGCUCCUGUAGUCGGCGCCGCUGCGCGAGGAGAUGACCGAGUCCAUCGACAUGGCCGCCCGGAGAACCCCGACUGCCUC
rnacentral:sRNA from 1 species